rnacentral:rRNA from 1 species
GAUGAACGCUGGCGGCGUGCCUAAUACAUGCAAGUCGAGCGAACAGACGAGGAGCUUGCUCCUCUGACGUUAGCGGCGGACGGGUGAGUAACACGUGGAUAACCUACCUAUAAGACUGGGAUAACUUCGGGAAACCGGAGCUAAUACCGGAUAAUAUAUUGAACCGCAUGGUUCAAUAGUGAAAGACGGUUUUGCUGUCACUUAUAGAUGGAUCCGCGCCGCAUUAGCUAGUUGGUAAGGUAACGGCUUACCAAGGCAACGAUGCGUAGCCGACCUGAGAGGGUGAGCGGCAACAGUGGAACUGAGACACGCUCCGGACACCUACGGGAGGCACCAGUAGGGAUGCUUCCAACAUGGGCGAAAGCCUGAAGGAGCAACGCCGCGUGAGUGAUGAAGGUCUUCGGAUCGUAAAACUCUGUUAUUAGCGAAGAACAAAUGUGUAAGUAACUAUGCACGUCUUGACGGUACCUAAUCAGAAAGCCACGGCUAACUACGUG